AUGGCUCAGGACGAACGCUGGCGGCGUGCCUAAUACAUGCAAGUCGAACGAACUCUGGUAUUGAUUGGUGCUUGCAUCAUGAUUUACAUUUGAGUGAGUGGCGAACUGGUGAGUAACACGUGGGAAACCUGCCCAGAAGCGGGGGAUAACACCUGGAAACAGAUGCUAAUACCGCAUAACAACUUGGACCGCAUGGUCCGAGUUUGAAAGAUGGCUUCGGCUAUCACUUUUGGAUGGUCCCGCGGCGUAUUAGCUAGAUGGUGAGGUAACGGCUCACCAUGGCAAUGAUACGUAGCCGACCUGAGAGGGUAAUCGGCCACAUUGGGACUGAGACACGGCCCAAACUCCUACGGGAGGCAGCAGUAGGGAAUCUUCCACAAUGGACGAAAGUCUGAUGGAGCAACGCCGCGUGAGUGAAGAAGGGUUUCGGCUCGUAAAACUCUGUUGUUAAAGAAGAACAUAUCUGAGAGUAACUGUUCAGGUAUUGACGGUAUUUAACCAGAAAGCCACGGCUAACUACGUGCCAGCAGCCGCGGUAAUACGUAGGUGGCAAGCGUUGUCCGGAUUUAUUGGGCGUAAAGCGAGCGCAGGCGGUUUUUUAAGUCUGAUGUGAAAGCCUUCGGCUCAACCGAAGAAGUGCAUCGGAAACUGGGAAACUUGAGUGCAGAAGAGGACAGUGGAACUCCAUGUGUAGCGGUGAAAUGCGUAGAUAUAUGGAAGAACACCAGUGGCGAAGGCGGCUGUCUGGUCUGUAACUGACGCUGAGGCUCGAAAGUAUGGGUAGCAAACAGGAUUAGAUACCCUGGUAGUCCAUACCGUAAACGAUGAAUGCUAAGUGUUGGAGGGUUUCCGCCCUUCAGUGCUGCAGCUAACGCAUUAAGCAUUCCGCCUGGGGAGUACGGCCGCAAGGCUGAAACUCAAAGGAAUUGACGGGGGCCCGCACAAGCGGUGGAGCAUGUGGUUUAAUUCGAAGCUACGCGAAGAACCUUACCAGGUCUUGACAUACUAUGCAAAUCUAAGAGAUUAGACGUUCCCUUCGGGGACAUGGAUACAGGUGGUGCAUGGUUGUCGUCAGCUCGUGUCGUGAGAUGUUGGGUUAAGUCCCGCAACGAGCGCAACCCUUAUUAUCAGUUGCCAGCAUUAAGUUGGGCACUCUGGUGAGACUGCCGGUGACAAACCGGAGGAAGGUGGGGAUGACGUCAAAUCAUCAUGCCCCUUAUGACCUGGGCUACACACGUGCUACAAUGGAUGGUACAACGAGUUGCGAACUCGCGAGAGUAAGCUAAUCUCUUAAAGCCAUUCUCAGUUCGGAUUGUAGGCUGCAACUCGCCUACAUGAAGUCGGAAUCGCUAGUAAUCGCGGAUCAGCAUGCCGCGGUGAAUACGUUCCCGGGCCUUGUACACACCGCCCGUCACACCAUGAGAGUUUGUAACACCCAAAGUCGGUGGGGUAACCUUUUAGGAACCAGCCGCCUAAAGGUGGGACAGAUGAUUAG
rnacentral:rRNA from 1 species